AUGAUGACCACCACGUGCCCCAGCCACUCCCUCGCGGGCCCGGCGGCCGAGCCCUUCUCGCCGUCGGAGCCCGGGGGUUGGUCCUCGUCCGGGCCGGCGAGGCCGCCGGAGAGCUUCCAGUAGGAGCAGGCCAGGGUGAGGAGCGAGAGCGCGAUGAGGGCCAGCAUCGUCGCGAGCCCGCCGAAGAGGUACGGCACCGGCGUCUGCCACGUCGAGCGCGGCGCCGCCGCGGGGCCGUGGGCCAUGGGGUACUCGGCUCCGGGCCUCAUGGCAUGGGUCGCUACCGUUCCAAUGACAGCAGUGUAUGCCUCUCUGUUGUCUGUGUUGUCUGUUGUCUGGGUGGUGUGA
rnacentral:rRNA from 1 species